rnacentral:rRNA from 1 species
GAUGAACGCUGGCGGCGUGCCUAAUACAUGCAAGUCGAGCGAACAGACGAGGAGCUUGCUCCUCUGACGUUAGCGGCGGACGGGUGAGUAACACGUGGAUAACCUACCUAUAAGACUGGGAUAACUUCGAGAAACCGGAGCUAAUACCGGAUAAUAUAUUGAACCGCAUGGUUCAAUAGUGAAAGACGGUUUUGCUGUCACUUAUAGAUGGAUCCGCGCCGCAUUAGCUAGUUGGUAAGGUAACGGCUUACCAAGGCAACGAUGCGUAGCCGACCUGAGAGGGUGAUCGGCCACCCUGGAACUGAGCCACGGUCCAGACUCCUACGGGAGGCAGCAGUAGGGAAUCUUCCGCAAUGGGCGAAAGCCUGACGGAGCAACGCCGCGUGAGUGAUGAAGGUCUUCGGAUCGUAAAACUCUGUUAUUAGGGAAGAACAAAUGUGUAAGUAACUAUGCACGUCUUGACGGUACCUAAUCAGAAAGCCACGGCUAACUACGUG